UGAUACUAUGUGUAAAUCAGCAGUUUUGUGUCGCCAGCAUUGCCAUCUUUGCUUCUGCCCUCUUGAGUCCAGUGAAUGUCCAGGCUGAGGCUAGAGUUAUUCGUAGAAUUUCCAUCUUUUUUUUGUUACCUUUUUUUUUUUUUUUUAAGGUCCAUAUGCAGGCAUGUGGAAACUCCCAUGCUAUGGGUUGAAUGGGUGCUACAGCUGCUGGCCUACUCCACAGCCACAGCAACAUAGGAUCCAAACCGCAUCUACAACCUACACCACAGCUAAUGGCAACACCUGAUUCUUAACUCACUGAAUUAGGCCUGGGAUCAAAUCCGCAACCUCAUUGUUCCUAGUCGGGUUUGUUAACCACUGAGCCACGAAGGGAACUCCUAAUGUUAGUCCUUUAUUUUUUCUUUCCUUCUAGUUCCCAAAGUAAUAUUUUUCUCCUAAAUCCUUAAUAAGGCCAAAGCACAAUAAUGGCAUUAUUUUUUUAUUUAGAAUUUUUUGUAGAAUUAUGUUUUCUUGUGUAGCAUUUCCUAGAUAUAAUACUAGCAGUAUGAGCAUACUCGGAUUUGAUGAGGCUAACUUGUUAGAGAGGCUGGGAAAUUAAAAUGAAGAUAUUGAUGUAUUGUUAAUUGAAAAUCAAUCAGAAUCAAGGAGAAAGUACCUUUUAAAUAGAAGAACAUGUUGAUUUAAAAUGAAAUUGUUUGCUUUUUACACAACUUUUCCAGGAACACGCAUAACAUGCAAAGUGAAUCUGUAGCUGUUCUGAAGAAUAAUAACUUCUAUUCCUGGUUAAUAUUCUUUAGUUAUAGACGUUUACAUUUUAAUAAUAUUAAGCAUUCUCCCCCACCCCCCGGGAGUUUGUCACCCCUCAGUUUUACGGGUUUUAAACUAGGGUAUAAAUUUAACUUGAGUAAUUUUAAAAACAUUUCCAAAGACACAUCUCACAAAGCAAUUUGAAAGACACGUGGAGUUUUUUAACGUCAAACACAACCCUGUUUCUUAUGAAAACAGUCACCUGAUUUUAACUGAAGAUUUAUUUGCUGUCAAGUUAGAAAUAUCUGUAGCAAAAACUUCUUUUCAGGGUUGAGAUUAUUUUAAUGAUGUGAACCUGGGGUUAAUACGGCCAUUUUAUUCUGGUCAUACAUAAUCAUUUAUUUUGUGAAUGGAGUGGUGAUUGGCAAAUACACGAUUUGCUUUCAUGCGAAGCUAGGCUAUGAUGGGGCCCAACUGCAGACUGUCACGUGACCUUUCUGCAGCCUGGCCUAUGUAGGGACCAACUGCAGACUGUCACGUGACCUUGCCCUAUGAAGCACGUAGCACCUUCGCUGCCCUCCAUGCAUUGCUUCCUGUGGAUGACCAGGCUGUGAGUUUCUCAGGAUGGAAGAUGGUAUCAUUUUUGUGUAGCUCCAGCAUGUCCAGCAGCGCCAGGCACUAGUUUGUGCUUAGCACGUGUUGAGUGCAUGAAUAUGAUUGAUUGUAUGUCUCUCUAGCAGGGUUUGCACCCAUCAGAUUUUCUUUUUGAAGAAUGUAUUUUUAAAUAUGUAUAGGUUGACAGGCAUUCCCCCACUCCCCUUCCUCCUUCUCUCCUUCCUCCCUCCCUCCCCCCUACUCCCCAUAUACAAGGAGAUCUUGUUUCUUUUUGCCCAGCCUUCCCUAGUGGUAACAUUUUGCAUGACUGGAGAGAAAAAUCAAAACCAAGACAUGGGUCCCAUAAGGCUAAGCUUAUUCAGAUCACUAGAUUUACAUGUACUCAUUUGUGUGUGCUUGUGUGCAUAGGUCUCUGCAGUUUUGUCACACGUGUAGAUUUAUUUAUCCACUAGCACAGGCAGCAGGCUUCUUUGUGCUGCCUUUUUAUUGCUCACCCCCAUCCCCCACAACAGGGUUUUAAUAGUGCUGAUCUUGUGGUUUGCAUUCUCUUAUAUGUUAACUAUGAUGUGUAAAGGAAUUAUGUUACUGUUCAGGACAAAUGAGCAGCAGUGGUAGUGUUUAUGGAUGCUUCUCAGUCUAGAGGUCAUCUCUUGCCCUUGACCAGUUUAUACAUUUCCUAUCUUAAAGAAAUAUUAUCUUAAAGUUGGCUUCCCCAAAGUUAGGAAUUGUCAACGUUAUCAUAACGGGUGUCCACUCUGAUUAGUUGGAACUUAGAGAUCACAUGGUAUAUUCAUUGUCCAGAAAAUGCAGGAAGUUGGAUGCUGAAAAUGGGGAUCCCCAGUGUUUAUGAGUUAUAAGUAACUCUUAGGAAAUGAUGUGAAGAGUGCAAAAUGGAUGUAGUCUCCUGUGCCAUGAAUCGGGGUGUCCAGCAGGUUUUAAUUGGGGUGACUGCAGACGCCUUGUGCAUGAUUGUGGCCGUAAAGAAUGGAUGCCUACAGCAGGCCCAGCGUAUCUAAAUGCGUGGCUUAAUGUGUUGAAAGGGAAUCCAUCCCUUGGGGUGAAUAUAACCAGGCUGGGUAGCAUCUGUAACCACCCCUGUUUGUAUAAGUACAGAGGAAACUUUUUAUAUAGAAGGGAGGAAAUAGAUGCUUGUGGGAGUUCCCAUUGUGGCUCAGCGGUGACAAACCCAACUAGGACCCGUGAGGAUGCAGGUUCAAUCCCUGGCCUCACUCAGUGGGUUAAGGAUCCAGCAUUGCCAUGAGCUGUGGUGUAGGUCACAGGCAUGGCUUGGAUCUUGGGUUGCCGUGACUGUGGUGUAGGCGGGCAGCUAUAGUAGCUCCAGUUCAACCUGGGAAAUUCCAUAUGUCGCAGGUGUGGCCCUUAACAG
ensembl:lncRNA